CUUCUCUUUUGGAAUGGCAAGUUGUAGGAGCUUGGCUUACUAGUCAUGAUCUCUAACUUGUGUUUAUUUGCCUAUAGUUUUAUUGACCGGCCUCAGAUAGGUGUGACUACUACAUUAGUCCACUUACGAUUGCUUAACAUAGCGCUAAAUUGUCUGAUGACACUAACAUUAACUACUAAAUACUAACUUUAAUUCAAGCAUUUAAUUCUUGCAAUUUACUUUAAUGAAAUUUAAUUUCUU
rnacentral:lncRNA from 1 species